ACCAGCGUGGUGUAGUGGUUUGAACAUUGGACUACAACUCUGAAGAUCAAGGUUCAAUUCCCUGCUCAACUA